UGACUCCCCACUGGUCCAGCAUGAAAGCU
rnacentral:piRNA from 1 species